rnacentral:rRNA from 1 species
CCCUUAGAUGUUCUGGGCUGCACGCGCGCUACACUGAUGCGUUCAACGAGUUUAUGACCUUGCCCGAUAGGGUUGGGUAAUCUUUUUAAAUCGCAUCGUGAUGGGGAUAGAUUAUUGCAAUUAUUAAUCUUCAACGAGGAAUUCCUAGUAAGCGCGAGUCAUCAGCUCGUGCUGAUUACGUCCCUGCCCUUUGUACACACCGCCCGUCACUCCUACCGAUUGAGUGGUUUAGUGAGGCCUCGGGACUGGCGCGCUCGAGUAGCAAUACACCUGCGCGCCGGGAACUUGGUCAAACUUGAUCAUUUAGAGGAAGUAAAAGUCGUAACA